rnacentral:rRNA from 1 species
CAUCUUUCAAGUGUCCUUCGAGUUCCCUCUGCUACACGUAGUUUGUUGUCUAUUCCUCAACUUACUCGUGAAAAUAAUGUCCUUGCUGAGUUUCACCCUUUUCGUUUCUUUAUCAAGGAUCGGGACACGAGGGCCAUUCUGCUUAGUGGUCGUCUUCGCCAUGGCUUGUAUGCACUUGACACACCGCCUGCAUCUCCUACGUCAUCUUCUCCUGAGGUGUUCAGCAGUGUUCAUGUGUCGCCUACGCACUGGCAUGCACGCCUUGGUCACCCGGCUGCUCCUAUAGUUAGUCAUGUGCUGCAUUGCCAUGAACUACCAGUUGUGUCCAAUAAAAGUGCUGAAACUAUCUGUGAUGCCUGUCAGCAGGGCAAGAGUCACCAACUACCUUUUUCAGAGUCUAGUCGUGUUGUGAAACAUCCUCUUGAUCUUGUGUUUUCUGAUGUAUGGGGUCAUGCCCAAACGUCUGUUAGUGGUCACAACUAUUAUGUCAGUUUCAUUGAUGCUUACAGUCGGUUUACUUGGCUAUAUCUUAUCAAGCGUAAAUCUGAUGUGUUUGAUGUUUUUAUU